AGGGAUUUAGCUCAAUGGUGCGGUCGCCUGCCUCACAAGCAGGAGAUCCUGAGUUCGAUCCCCAAAAAUCCAA
rnacentral:tRNA from 1 species